rnacentral:tRNA from 1 species
CGAAAUAUGACGCAGUAUGGUAGCGUGUCUGCUUUGGGUGCAGAAAGUCAUGUGUUCAAAUCACAUUAUUUCGA